CGGCUGAUCUCAGUUUAAGAGUGGGACACACAAAUGGGCAGGCUUUUCUUAAGUCGGCUCUUUUAAACGUGUACAUGGUUAUUUGAAUUUUAUUUGUCUUGGAAUUCCCUGCCGGGCUUCAAAGGCAAUGGGUUCCCAGCUCCUCUGGAGCGCGACCCUAGCAGCCUUCCCCGUGUCGAAUCUGGCGCUCUGAACGUCCAGGCUUCGCGGCGGCCCGGAACCUGGAAGGGGCGGGGUGGGCAACUCUGGAGUUUAAUUACGCGCCAGGGAAGCACGGCCCUUUGGACUUUGGCGUCCGGAGGAAGGCUUAUUGGAGGCGGAAGCGUGUGUGGCGCAGGGCCGGGCUGGCCAGGCCCCGCUCUGAGUCAAGAGGGCGGCGCACGCUGGUCCGACCCGCGCCCUCGGCCCCGGAGCCCUCGGGAGCUCGCGCAACAUGGCGGCUCCCGGAGCGCGCGGCGCGAGCCUCUCGGGCCUGCUGCCCGCGCAGACCUCGCUCGAGUACGCCCUGCUGGACGCCGUCACCCAGCAAGAGAAGGAUGAGUUGGUCUACCAGUAUCUGCAGAAGGUGGACGGCUGGGAGCAGGACCUAGCGGUGCCCGAGUUUCCGGAAGGCUUAGAAUGGCUGAACACGGAGGAGCCUCUGUCCAUUUACAAGGACCUGUGUGGAAAAGUGGUUGUCCUUGAUUUCUUCACCUACUGCUGCAUAAACUGCAUUCAUGUGCUGCCUGAUCUCCACGCCCUGGAGCGCAGAUUCUCUGAUAAAGAUGGCCUUCUGAUUGUCGGUGUUCACUCGGCUAAGUUUCCCAAUGAGAAGGUCCUGGACAACAUCAAGAGUGCUGUCCUCAGAUACAACAUCACCCACCCUGUGGUUAACGAUGCAGAUGCCAGCCUUUGGCAGGAGCUUGAAGUCUCUUGCUGGCCAACACUGGUCAUACUGGGACCCCGUGGAAACCUGCUGUUUUCUUUGAUUGGAGAGGGACACAGAGAUAAACUAUUUUCAUAUACGUCUAUUGCUUUAAAGUAUUACAAAGACAGGGGACAGAUCAGAGAUGGAAAAAUUGGAAUAAAACUCUUCAAAGAGUCUCUGCCACCUUCACCAUUGCUGUUCCCUGGCAAAGUAGCAGUGGACCAUGCUACUGGUCGACUUGUGGUGGCAGACACAGGGCACCAUAGGAUCUUGGUCAUCCAGAAGAAUGGGCGCAUUCAGAGCAGCAUUGGAGGACCUAACCCUGGAAGGAAAGAUGGGAUGUUUUCAGAGUCGUCUUUUAAUUCUCCACAGGGUGUAGCUAUAGCAGAUAAUGUCAUCUAUGUGGCCGACACUGAGAACCACCUUAUAAGAAAGAUAGACCUGGAAGCUGAGAAGGUGACCACUGUGGCUGGUGUCGGUAUUCAAGGGACAGAUACAGAAGGGGGCGAGGAGGGAGACAAGCAGCCCAUCAGCUCCCCGUGGGACGUUGCGCUUGGGACCUCAGGUUCAGAGGUCCAAAGAAAUGACAUCCUGUGGAUAGCCAUGGCAGGGACUCAUCAGAUAUGGGCACUCCUCCUAGACUCUGGCACACUGCCAAAGAAAAGGUCAGUCUGAUGGACACAUUCUCUGUUGACGUUCCCUCUUCUCAGACGACUCCAGUUUGUGUCAAGUUGACCAAAAGCUGACCAGAACACAGUCACAGACCACAAAGUUGUUAUGUAGUAAUAGGAAUGACCUAAAAAAAGGAACCUGCAUUCGUUUUGCUGGAAGUGGAAAUGAAGAGAACCGAAACAACGCAUAUCCUCACAAGGCAGGCUUUGCCCAGCCGUCAGGCCUCGCUCUCGCCUCAGAAGAGCCCUGGAGCUGCCUCUUUGUGGCUGACAGUGAGAGCAGCACCGUGCGGACCGUCUCGCUGAGAGACGGAGCUGUGAAGCACCUCGUAGGCGGAGAGCGAGACCCCAUGAAUUUAUUUGCUUUUGGUGAUGUUGAUGGAGCAGGCAUCAAUGCGAAGCUUCAGCAUCCACUUGGGGUUGCAUGGGACGAGGAGAGGCAAGUGCUCUACGUGGCCGACUCCUACAAUCACAAGAUUAAAGUUGUGGAUCCAAAAACAAAAGGCUGUACAACGUUAGCAGGGACUGGGGACGCCAGUGAUGCCAGUUCCAGUUUUGCGGAGUCAGCCUUUAAUGAGCCCGGAGGCUUGUGUAUCGGUGAGAGUGGUCGGCUGUUAUAUGUAGCAGACACUAAUAAUCACCAAAUUAAAGUGAUGGAUUUAGAAGCAAGAACAGUUUCUGUGCUCCCAGUCUGCAAGUCUGACAGUGCUGUGGUAGAUGGCUCCUUCCCUAGAGAGAAACAGAAGACAGUGCCCAAGGUGCCGAAGUCUGCCGCACACAUCGGCCUCCCCCCUGUGACGGUGCAUCCGGGCCAGGCUCUGCAGCUUAGGCUCAAGCUCCAGCUCCCGCCAGGAGCAAAGCUGACCGAAGGCGCGCCCAGCUGCUGGUUCCUGGAAGCUGAAGGCAAUGAAUGGCUACUUCAAGAACAGACCCCAUCUGGAGACAUAGAGAAUAUUUCCAAUCAGCCGGCGAUUUCCCUGCAGAUUCCUACCCAUUGCUUGUCACUGGAAGCUGUGGUGUCUGUCGUCGUGUUUCUUUAUUACUGCAGUGCAGACAGCAGCGCAUGUAUGAUGAAGGGAGUCGUGUUCAGGCAGCCUUUGCAGAUAACCAGCACCCAGCCAGCUUGUGCAGCUCCUGUAGAGCUCGCAUACGCAUUCUAGAAGGCUGGCCAGCAGCCCUCAGCACAGGCCCUGUCCAUCCUGCCAUUCGUCGCUUAGGGAAAAAGCAUUAUAGUAACCCAUUGCUCAGUUGUAACAACUGAUACCAAAAUAAAGCUGUGCUCCUUAUUAGUAUUUUAAUUCUAAACAAAUUUCUUCAUUUUAGCUGUGUGCUAGCCAAGUCAUUGACCAUCAUUUUACCACGGCACUGUAAGCUUUGCUGUUAUUUGUUUUAAAAGCAACAGUCCAUGCUAUAUCAGAGAGUAUUAUAUUUGUAGUCAAAACUAAUCAUGCCAGAUAGUUUAAAUAACCUGCCUUUAUCAGUAGUGGUUAUCCAUUCGUGUGUAAAUUUCCAGUAACUUGAGAUGGGCCUAAGCUGUGCGCCUUUGUGUCAGGAUACCUGCUGUUUAGUGUCUAAGGUCUGCUUAAAGCCAGAACAGAAAGUAUUCACUCGGCACAAACUCAGCGUGUAUGAGUAGUUACUUACCUCCGGUGAUUUUUCUCACUUGAGGUAUUUUUAAAAGAGAGUUUUAAUCUAUUUUUAUUAUAAAUUAUUUGUUUUAACAUUCUAUUAUUAAUGCCUUAUAACUUUAUAUAAAAAAGAAAAAUAUAGAAUUUCUAAAGGCAUGCAGACCUACCUUUAACUGUAUUUAAUGAGCAUAAUUCCUAGCAGGCAAUGCCUGGCUCCCAGAGGCAUGCUGACCUGGGUGUGGGUGGAGACUGCUGUGUUGCUGUGUGUGAUGGGUUAUUGUAGUGGCUAGGCUGGCUGUCAUGAGCAUCAUGCUAUUUUGGAAAUUUAGAUGUCAGUUUUAAGAGUUAAGUAACAGAAUUGUUGGGUUUGAGAUUUUUGUUACUGUUUUGGUUCCCAUAUUUAGAAUUUAAAUUAUGAUCAUUAAUUCUGAUAUUUUGAAAAAUCACAUGUAAACCUUCAAUUUGCUAUUUUCAGGGUAUAGUUAUACUAAUACACUUUCAUUUAAAAUAUUAGGGCUGAAACACACAGUGAUUUACUGAUACUGUUUUGGUAUGUGUUUUCUUUAACCCCGUAAGAAACAGCACUGGAAGGGAUCCUGGAGAGGUUUGGUUUUCAUUGUUAACUUGAAUUAUCAUAGAUUAUCAUCAUAACUGUUUAAGAGCCUUGCUCUUCUAAAACUGAGUGGACAUGUGUUUUACUAAGACUACAAGGUUUCAGAAGCAUUGUCUGAGCCCCACCUAUAAAUUUAAUAAGCAUUUAAGCAUAGUCUACCUAUUUAUUAGUUAAUUUUUGCAGUAGUUUUUGAUAGGUAACAUUUGCUUGUUUUAUUGUUCAGUUAACUAAAAAAAAAAAAAAAUCUGAAGUGAAAACUUGCUGACUUCCGUUAUUAACUUAGAAAUGCUGUUUCUCAGGAGCAAGGCGAACGUGAAAGGGAGGGGUCCUGUUUAGAGUUGCCCGUGGUUACCUCAGAAACCUUUGCACCUAGAACCAGCCAAGGCAGCGGCUCUGCAGCUCCAGCCUGGAGCUGGUGGUCUGUGGAGGGCCUCAGAGCGCCGCAGCCCUCGUUGAUUUGUUGGAUUCCUCGUUUAUUUCCAGUUGGACGGGAUGAGAAUAUUUUGGUUCAGUCAUUUCCUGUUUGAGGACAUAAACAGUUUCACUCUCUAAAACAGGGUAUAUACAGUUUAGCUUGUGUGGAAAUUAUUUUUCACUCUGAAAAUACAAGCAUGUAUUCUGUAGUUUGAUGUACCUUAAAAAUCCCAAAAUAUUCUUUAACUCCCUUGAUUUUCCCUUUGCCUGGGUAGGAUCUUACUUGAGUCUUCAGUGACUGCGGGGAUCUCGGUGGCUGCACACCCCACCCACCUGCCUCUCUGCACUGCUGGUCACAGCAGAAUGUUAGUGGGGAUGGACGGAGAAGGUGCUCAGUGAGCAGAGUGCGCUUUCCUAGGGUCAGGACUGACACAGUGUCUGCCAGGAGGAAACCUUGGUCACAGCACUUCUGGAGCUGCAGCGUCUCCUGUCCUCUCUGAGAGCCUUGUAGUUGUCCUGAGACAACUCUGUCUGCCUUGGGGCUCACACCACUGAGAUAGGUUAUGUGGGCCUCUGUUUUGCAGUGUGGGAAAUCUAGGACUUAAUGAACAUGUGUAACCAUGGUUUCUCCACAUACGCGGAACUGACUGUCUUUCUCCAUCCAGGGAAAAGUCUUCAGCUUCUGCCUUUGCCUCUGGCUUGGCAAAGAUCAGAGUUGUUAACUCAUUUGGAAGAUGGUUCUUUGCCGUGCGCAGAGGCCCUGGGUUCAGUCCUCAGGAGGAAAAUGAAAUCACGAAAAGCUAUGUUUUGUAGUGAACAGUAACAUAAAGCCACGUGCAGGGGCCGUGUCACCUAAGCUCUAAAUGAGCAAGCCCGUGCUGUCUCACUGAAAUUCUACCUCUGAGAAUACUCAAUGGCCAGUACUUUAGAGAGUAAUCUAAUCUUCUCAAAGAUACUAAAAUAAUCUGAAUUGUAAGCACUAAUAAUUUUUCUAAAGCCACUUCUGUUACCAAAGAUGGGGGUCUAUUUAGAGUCCUUUCAUUUACCAGUUUCCUUUAAAAUUGUAGUUGGUGAGGACAGGGAUAAUUACGGUGUUUUAUUGUUUAGCAUGGUAUAGUGGCAGGAGUAUAGACUCUAGCAGUGUCUUGCCCUGCAGAGCUGGGCUGCUGGACCAAGCCUGGGCUUGCCGCCAGGCUUCAGUAAAAUGCUCCCACGGCAUUUAGCAGGGAGUAAUUUAUGAACUGCUACUUAUCAGUUUAGUUCUAAUAAUGACAAUAAUUUAUGGCCACAGACAUGGGCUUGACUUUUUUUUUUUUUUACAACUCCAGUUUCUAAAGCAAAAUCUUUCUCCACCAUUUGACAUGUUAGCAGUCCCAGUAGAAUCUGGGCUCGAGAAGAAAAAGAACACUUUAUGGUAGAAUGUAUUACCAUUUCAUAAACAAUAUUGUUUAUAAAGAAGCACCUCUCUACUGUAUUGAAGUAUUUAAAAAGGCCUUCUGGAGCUUUAAUGAAUACGGCUUUUCCAUAGAGGAUCCAGACAUAGCUGGAGACACACCACACUCUUAACAGCUUGUACAAGAAUCUUCAGAUUAUAACCUGCGUGCCCUGGUGGGUGCUCUCACCCUGGGGCGGUGCCCUCUGCAGUCUUCAAAGUACUUGAGAAUAACGUUACAGACUAGGUGUGAAUGUUCCAGAGAAGGAAGCUGCUUCGGCAUGUUGGGUACGAAGCUCCUGGGGUAGCGUCCAGUGCCUAGAACAGGACCUAGUAUGUGGGUGCUGGCUGACAGCAGCAGAGCUUAACCGAGGCUCCCUACAGUGUGGAAAGUGGGGACCUACCCCCCGGCCUUCAGACGAGGGCAGAAGGAGGCUUACCUUCAUUGAGUUCUCGCUCCCUGCUGGGAGUUUCCCUUCUGUGUGCUGACCACACGCAAUCCUCACAACAGCCUUAGGAUAGAGUCCCUCCUCCUUGAACAGUCACAUCAGCACUAAGAGUGUACACAGAGGAAGUGGACAGCUGUCUGCCCCACUGCCUACUCUGUCGUCUCCCAAACUUGCAAGGUCACAUAUUUCAUUCCUUCAUGUAGUAACUUAUCAGUCCAGAGGAUUCCAGGAGCCCUGGGAAUGCGUGUUUGUAAAAUUCAUUUAAAUUCAUUAAAGUCAUUCAACUUACAUGACUUCUCAUAGAUUCUUAUCAUCUGGGCCUUGGAAUGGUCUAUAUAAUCAUUGGUUCCCAGAGGAUUUUCUGUGCCCUUAAUUUCAGUGACUAUCCACAGUUUUUUCUUGGCAGGAGUAUGUGUAGACAUCCCAGUUAGCUCAACAGGACUGUCCCAGCAGCCAGUCCACCAUAACGAGCAUGGCUGGUGCAGGCCUGGAGACGUCUACCCAUAUCGGACACAGUGUGUUUUGUGAACCAAGUGAGGUGUAGAGGAAUAAAGUCCUCUGCCUUCCUGCAGCCUUAAUGGUCUGCUGUGCAGGCUCCCUGGUGACUCAGGAGUUGUUCCUGAAAUCAGCGUGGCAGUGUGAGACAAGAUGUCCUGCGUGUGCCAGUGGUGGUUUUUAGGGGCAUCCCAGUGCAGCGUCUGUCCAUUGUGAAGUAGUGUGGUCGUGAAGCAGUACUAUGGUUCAGUGAGCAGCGCACUACAUGGGUCAGAAAUGACAGUGUGACAGAGUCACAUACCUUGAGGCAGACCUGCGUGAUAAUCACCAAGAUUGCUUUUUCCACCCGUGUUUCAAAGCCGACAUGAAGAAUGAGCCCUCGCCUGAGUCACUGUUUUAACCUGGCUUAAUAGAAUUUCCUUUUUCCAGUUUCUUUGCGUUAGGGUAAUAGACAGAAUGGUCGUUAAAGUUAGAGGCUUGGUAAUCAAGCGAGGUGGCAUUCUGUGGCUAAUCAGCCUUGUCUCCUGCCUGUGCCGGCUUGUGUAGGCUGGCGCCUUGGCUCUCGGGUGGCCGCUAUGAGCACACAGGCUGGCCCAGAAUAGGACACAGCCCUGCCUGCAGGCUCUGCUAGGAUAGCUUUCGCCAUGGCGUGGUGCUUUGGUUUAAUCAUUGUCAGAGGUCAGAGUUGAAAACUAAAACCCUAGACGCUUGUGGAAUGUGCGUCUAGGUGUAGUUACUCAUUGUGUGGUGUGUCCUUUGCUCCCCUUGCACGUCACUCCUGUGUGCCUGUGGACACUGCUCUCGACAGCCUCCCGACCCAAGGAAAGAACCGCAAGGACUUUCCAGUACACUUCCACCUGUGGCCGCCCUCAGCUGUGGGUUAGAAAUAAACACUGGACCUACAUACUAGAGUGCCUGGCCUGGCUCAGACGUGGGCGUGAGCAGUGUUGCUGUUUGAAAGUGAAAUCUGAAGCUCUAGUAACUCUUGGGUUGCUUAGUUUCAGCUUUCCACAUGGAAUAAAUAAAACAAAAUAAAACAAAAGGGAGGUGAGGUUCCGCCCUCUGAGAUACAGACUCUUUAAAGAGGAUUUUUAUUAUUCUGAACCUAGUUUCAUGAGAAAAUAUGUUGAGAUAAAUAAGAUCAAACAAUCAAAUGAUGCCAGUGGGGAUGAAAGCACAUACGUUCCUAGUGUAGCCAUUGGGGUAUCUUCUAUUUUAAAGACUGCUUGUCUCUAUUUUUAGUUCCACCAGAAACAUAAUUGUUGGCACAGGGUUGGAAUGUAUUGUCGGUGCAUGCCUGUGAUGUCAUCAUUGCAAGUUACCCUCAAAAACUAAGCCAGAGCCCCAACUCAGCCCGUGACCUCCGCCCUCAGCUACAGAAACAGCUGUAUUCCUGUCGAGCCUUUGCUGAGGAGCUGGGCUUCCACAGGGACUCAAGUGGGGAACGUGUUGCAGUGAUCAUUUUUCUAAAAUUCCUAGUAAUUUCUCAGUGUUCUACAGCAGAGAACAGGACCCCGUGUGACUGACUUCAGAUUGGCUUCUCUUUGAAGUAGGGCUUCCUCACUGUCCAUGGGCUGAUGGUAUAGCUUUAGGUCUCUCUGUAAGAGACGCCGUUACUGUCAUUACUUCACGCCUUAAGGAAUCAAGACCUCCACCAGUCUGUUACUCCUUCAAGGUAUGCUUCAUGGAUGAUCACGUUAGAGACUGUUGCCAUCUUGUGUGGGUAAAUGAUGUCAUUUGUGAGCAUAGAGGUGCUCUGCUGUGAGGAUGUCAUGCCUAAACAAUGCAGUGGAAAUCCAGUAUACAAGUUCAGAUACUGGUAUUUCUAGACAUGGCUUAGUCCUGAAAGAAUUUCCUUGCUAUGCAUUUUAAAGUGUUUGUAGAUGGAUUAAUAUAUUUUUAUGCAAUGUAUUUUACACUUAUUUCUAGACCAAACUCUUCAGUGGCUUCUUCAAGUGCAUUAUUGGGUGGAUAAGAGCUUGACGGCUUCACUAACUCGAGGAGCGUGGAGCCAAGCGUCUGGGAAGCGUGUGUGUUCCUACUGUACUUGCAAACCUAAAGCUCUUCCAAAGCUUUGUACUUUUUUUCCAUGAAACAGAUUAAAUAUUUUUCUCUCCAAA